GUCUCCGCACGAGGGCGCAGAGAGCCACCGCCGACGGUGACAAGGAGCACAUGGGGGGAAAUGGCAGCUGGACUUCGCCUCCUCCAGCCCCACACUGCCACUCAUCGUGAGAGAGGAGAGGGGUGGAGAAAUAUGGAGUGGAGCAAGAGGAGAAGAUGAGGGAGAGCUGUGAUUCCUCAAUCUCUGGUCCCCUUUGUGUCCUUGCAGAUUCUUUUGAUUUAUGCCUACAAGGUGCUCGACGAAAAUCUAGGCAGAUUGCCAUUGAUGAAAUAUACAAGAAAAAUCCAGGAAAACGUGGUUGGUGAUAUGUUCAUAUCAAAGAAAGAGAAGGGAUAUCAGCGGGCAGUGUUGAAGAUGAGGCUUGGCAUCAUGAACUAAGCAACUACAAUGACUUAUAUACUCCAUCUCUUCCAAUAUAAGUCUCCGAAAGUUUGUCCCCAAAGACAAAAUACGGGGCCUCGCUCAAUGUUUAAACAGGUUAGAGCACCGACAAUCUCUCU